UGGGGAAUUUUGGACAAUGGGCGCAAGCCUGAUCCAGCAAUGCCGCGUGCAGGAUGAAGGCCUUCGUGUUGUAAACUGCUUUUGUACGGAACGAAACGGCUCUGGUUAAUACCUGGGGCUAAUGACGGUACCGUAAGAAUAAGCACCGGCUAACUACGUGCCAGCAGCCGCGGUAAUACGUAGGGUGCGAGCGAUAAUCGGAAUUACUGGGCGUAAAGCGUGCGCAGGCGGUGAUGUAAGUCAGAUGUGAAAUCCCCGGGCUCAACCUGGGACCUGCACUUGUGACUGCAUCGCUGGAGUGCGGCAGAGGUGGAUGGAAUUCCGCGUGUAGCAGUGAAAUGCGUAGAUAUGCGGAGGAACACCGAUGGCGAAGGCGAUCCCCUGGGCAUGCACUGACGCUCAUGCACGAAAGCGUGGGGAGCAAACA
rnacentral:rRNA from 1 species